UACAGAGGGUGCGAGCGUUAAUCGGAAUUACUGGGCGUAAAGGGCGCGUAGGUUGAUGCGUAAGUCAAAUGUGAAAUACCUGGGCUUAACCGAGGGAUUGCAUGUGAAACUGCGCGACUAGAGUAUAGGAGAGGGUGUAGGAAUUUCUGGUGUAGCGGUGAAAUGCGUAGAGAUCAGAAGGAACCCUAGUGGCGAAGGCGAACACCUGGCUAGAUACUGACACUGAGGCGCGAAAGCGUGGGUAGCAAACAGG
rnacentral:rRNA from 1 species